rnacentral:rRNA from 1 species
GGGGAAUAUUGGGCAAUGGACGAAAGUCUGACCCAGCAACGCCGCGUGAAGGAAGAAGGCUUUCGGGUUGUAAACUUCUUUUAAGGGGGAAGAGUAGAAGACGGUACCCCUUGAAUAAGCCACGGCUAACUACGUGCCAGCAGCCGCGGUAAUACGUAGGUGGCAAGCGUUAUCCGGAUUUACUGGGUGUAAAGGGCGUGUAGGCGGGACUACAAGUCAGAUGUGAAAUUCCAGGGCUCAACCCUGGAACUGCAUUUGAAACUGUAGUUCUUGAGUGAUGGAGAGGCAGGCGGAAUUCCGAGUGUAGCGGUGAAAUGCGUAGAUAUUCGGAGGAACACCAGUGGCGAAGGCGGCCUGCUGGACAUUAACUGACGCUGAGGCGCGAAAGCGUGGGGAGCAAACA